rnacentral:rRNA from 1 species
GGAAUUUUGGACAAUGGGGGAAACCCUGAUCCAGCCAUCCCGCGUGUGCGAUGAAGGCCUUCGGGUUGUAAAGCACUUUUGGCAGGAAAGAAACGUCAUGGGUUAAUACCCCGUGAAACUGACGGUACCUGCAGAAUAAGCACCGGCUAACUACGUGACAGCAGCCGCGGUAAUACGUAGGGUGCAAGCGUUAAUCGGAAUUACUGGGCGUAAAGCGUGCGCAGGCGGUUCGGAAAGAAAGAUGUGAAAUCCCAGAGCUCAACUUUGGAACUGCAUUUUUAACUACCGGGCUAGAGUGUGUCAGAGGGAGGUGGAAUUCCGCGUGUAGCAGUGAAAUGCGUAGAUAUGCGGAGGAACACCGAUGGCGAAGGCAGCCUCCUGGGAUAACACUGACGCUCAUGCACGAAAGCGUGGGGAGCAAACAGG